rnacentral:rRNA from 1 species
AGAAUCAACGCUGGCGGCGUGCCUAACACAUGCAAGUCGAACGAGAAAGUGGAGCAAUCCAUGAGUACAGUGGCGUACGGGUGAGUAACACGUGACUAACCUACCCUCGAGUGGGGAAUAACCUCGGGAAACCGGGGCUAAUACCGCAUAAUAUCUUCGGAUCAAAUGCGCAAGCAGCUUGAGGAGGGGGUCGCGGCCGAUUAGCUAGUUGGCGGGGUAAUGGCCCACCAAGGCAGUGAUCGGUA